GGGAGUAUAGCUCAGUGGUAGAGCAUCCGACUGCAGAUCGGAUUGUCCCCGGUUUAAACCCGGGUGUUCCCU